UCAUAAGCUUGCGUUGAUUAAGUCCCUGCCCUUUGUACACACCGCCCGUCGCUACUACCGAUUGGAUGGUUUAGUGAGGCCCUCGGAUCGGCCCCGCCGGGGUCGGCCCACGGCCCUGGCGGAGUGCUGAGAAGACGGUCGAACUUGACUAUCUAGAGGAAGUAAAAGUCGUAACAAGGUUUCCGUAGGUGAACCUGCGGAAGGAUCAUUAACGGAGAACGCGGCGGCGGCGGCGGCGGCGGAGGCGCCCCGUCCUUCCCGUCCGUCCGCUCGCCCGCGAAGCCUUCCCCCGUGCGGUGCGGGCGGGCCGGCGCGGUGCCGGCCCGCUGGCCGCGAGGGACGUGAGAGAGCGGGAGCGCGUGUGUGCGUGUCCGUCCGUGGGGCGAGGACGGGGCCGCGUGAGGAGGAGGCAGGGGGAAGGAAGGGGCCGCGCCCGCCGCCGGGAGGCGCGGUGGAAGCGCGGCGGUGGCGGUGGGCGGGCCUGGCGUCGGUCGGUCGGGCGCCCGCCGGGAGGGGAAGGGAGGGGGUGUCGUCGGCGACGACGGCGUGUCGUGGGGGGGGAGACGGGCCCCGCGCCCGCCUCCCUUUCUCGGACGUCGCCGUCCCGGCCCCCCCCCCACCCCGCCACCCUCCAUCCCCACCCCCAACCAACCCUGAGUCCUCUGGUGGAUUUGGGAAUGGAAGGCCGGGGUGUGUGUGUGUGUGUGUGUGUGUGUUUACACGGACGCACCUGCGGAGGGUGGUGGGGCAUGCUCACGUUGGCUCCUGCAAACUCCAUUCAUUCUGGGAAUGUUCUGUUGUUUCUGCUGAGUUGCCAGUUGCUGCGAUGAGCCAAGCUAUACUCCUCCCGUUGCCGAGUUCUUAAAAAGGCCGAGUCUCCGGUUUUCUCGGUGAAUGGACUGACCCACACCUUCCCAUCCCGCCGGACCCCUUCUGCAAAUACUUGCACUCAAAGGGUUCUUUCACCUCGUCCAGAAAACAAACAACAGCCACCCACACCCACCCCAUUGCCACAGAUACGCAACCCACACAACAAAACUCCAGCUGGCCUCCUUCUGCCUCCAUGUACUUUAUUUUAUUUUUAUUUUUAUUUUUUUAAAUAUUUUUAUUUAUUUAUGAUAGUCAUAGAGAUUGAGAGAGAGAGAGAGAGGCAGAGACAGAGGCAGAGGGAGAAGCAGGUUCCAUGCACAGGGAGCCCGACGUGGGAUUCGAUCCCGGGUCUCCAGGAUCGCGCCCCGGGCCAAAGGCAGGCGCCAAACCGACCGCUGCGCCACCCAGGGAUCCCCUCCAUGUACUUUAGAGAGUCACUGUCUUAGACGUGCCUUAGGCUCAAGGACUCGAUGCGGUCUCCCUUUCUGUGGCACGGUCGGUCCCAUCCAUCCCCCGUUAGGCCCAAAAGUAGAAUUGCAUGACCACACUGCUCACGGGAGCUGGAGAAGAUAUGCUAAGGUGACCGACCGGACCGACCGACCGACCGACCGACCGGAUGGGAGCACUGUCCAUUCGAAAGGACCUACAGGCCGAGGCGUCUAUAAACACGCUCCCUGGAAGUCUUUGGCUUUCGCGUGCCUCUGAUGAAAUCAUUGCUCUGGAAACUCCAGCAUCUAUAGCCGGUCUUGUCCAUGGUCUUCUGACCAUGACUCGUCCUCUGUUCGCCUGACAUUCUGCCCAAUUGUCCACGGAGAAAUUAGACCCCGUCCCGUGAGAGCCGAAUCCGACUCCUCCGCUCACCCCCACGACAGAGAAGACUAUGCCCAGGUCUGUGCCCGCCCAUCUUCCCUUUCUCCUCCGCCAGGGCAGAAGAAAAUGUGGCCCGCCCUCCCUUCUCCUGUCAAAAGUCCAAUCUGACAUAGGACUUGGAUACG
rnacentral:lncRNA from 12 species